AAAGACGCGUUGAAAAAGAGGAGUAAAUAUAAGGGACCUUGAAGAGAGAUGGUGGGUGCUGCAAACCAUUAGGAAAUUUAUAUUGAAGGAACUUUGGAGCGAUUAAAAAUAAAGUUGGGCUAGCUGCCAAUAAGGGUGGAACCGCGGUAAAACCGUCCCUUAG
rnacentral:ncRNA from 1 species